GUGAGUGAGGAUGAUAUUUUCAUAAUUAAUGGGAAAAAAGUACAAUAUUAAACAAAUAUUAUUAAAGAAAAUAUAUUAUAAAUAUAAGUGUUGCGUACAUAGAUAUACAUUAUUUUCCAAAUCUACGUUUUAUCUCACCAAAAACAGUGGCCCAUCCAUCAUGUGAAGUGUGUUCAUAUCUUUUUUAUAUUUAAUUUUAAAUAUAUUGCUUUGUUAUUUUGAUUGUGCAUUUGCAGUUAAAAUUAAGAACAGUUCAUAAUGUUUAUUAAACUUUCUUCUUUUUUUUUUUAAGCUUUUUACUGAUUUUAAUUCAAUGAUAAAUGAUCAAAAAUGUAUGUUUCUCGAAAUAACAAAACGAAAUAAAGAUAUUGAAUUACUAAAAUGACAUGCAUCAUAAUUUUAAAGCGCCUUUCAAACAUUGGUAAAAUGUAUGUAACUAUCUGUAUGUAACUUAUUAUGCAACACAAUAUUAUAUACUAUAUUUAUCUUUCUAAAGGAUCCUUCAUAUUGUUUAUUCUAGUUUUAACUAUAAUUAAACAAUUUUGUUGAUCAGAAAUCAGAAAUUAAAGCAAAAUAACAAAUUUCUGUUAGUUGUUUAAAUAACGUGUUUUCUAUGAUAUAUAUAUAAUACAUUUGUCAACAUCUAUGUAAUAUAAUUGUUUUUUUACUAUACACUAAAAUAUAAAAACAUGUUUACAUAUCAUAACCCAUAAGAAAAGC